UAAAUAAAAAACGUUGAAAAAAAUAAAAAAAAAAAUAGAAAUGGGGGGGGUGCCAAGGGUGGCUCAGUUGGUUAAGUGUCCGACUCUUGAUUUCUGUUCAGGUCGUGGUCUCACGGUUCGUGAGUUCCAGCCCUGCAUUGGGCUCUUUGCUGACACCAUGGAACCUGCUUGGGAUUCUCUUUCUCCCUCCCUUUGCCCCUCCCCUGCUCAUGCUCUCUCUCUCUCAAAACAAGUAAAUGAAACUUAAAAAAAUAUAUAGAAAUGGGUUCACAAAAGGAGACUGGAGAUGAUGAAAAUGAUCUUUCCUCACUUAGAAGUGUCUCUCAAGUGAAAUCUACUUGCUCUUUCUAUGUUUCAAAGAGAGCAGGGAUGGGGAAUGUCAGUAAACCCGCGUGUCACAUGCAUGCAAAUCUCUAAGUGUUCUAAAGGUCAUUUGCAACCCACAUGGCUUGGCAUUUUCCUUCCAGAACACUAAAAGGAAUAAUUUAAUUAACUCUUCCAAAGAAACAUAAUCAGACUUAAUUGGAAUUUAUGCCGAUCAAAAUAUUUGAGUCUGGGACCUGGAUAACUGGAAAAGAAAUGAUACAAAAAAUAUUUGAUAGCUGGUGUCAGUAAAUUAAGGUUGAGAAGCACUUAAAAAAGAAAUCAGAAUUUAACGUACAAGAGUUUGCACUUGAUAAGAAUUCAGUGUACUGCUUUGGUAAUUUUUUUCUUAGCCCCCUUUCCCAAAUUCUUAAUCUCUAGAAAAUGUAUCAAAAUGAGUCAAUAGCAAAGCUUGCCUCUGAAACAGGAGACUUGACAACAAAUACCACCCAACUGUCAUUGUUUAAGCUUAUGAGCAAUUGAAUCUCAUUAUUUCAGCCAAAUUAUGUUUUACUGCAGUGAGAAGCCAAAAAAAAAAUAUUUUAAACUGUUUUUUUUUCUACACUUCAGAUUUCAGUGAUAUGGACAAACAUUGAGCCUUCAAGAAGGCAGGAAUGUCCUUUUUAGCCAAGAGGAAUCAUCCCAGGAAUGGUGCACAAGAACUUCCAACUAUACGUUUAUCUUCUGCAACUAAGAAGUCAAAAGACAUUUCAUGCUCAAUUUAUUUGCUUUUAUUGUAUUUUUAAUGCUCAACUUGUCAAAAAUCAUUAAUAUAUCUAUACCAUAAAAUAUAAUCUUAUUUUUAAGAAAAAAAAAUCUUUCAGCAAUCAAUUCAGGGCAAAAGAGAUAUCAAGAAAAGUAGUCUUAUCUGCUCAGUGGACUCCAACUGUUAAUAGAUUAUUUUCCAAAAAUUUCUUUAUAAAUCAGUUGUUUGAAAAUCUUUUAGAUUUCUCCAGUGGGACAAUAUUAUAGCGAUUGAGAUUUCUGGGAGAGUAUUCCAAUGCCUAUUUAACUCCUUAGGCUAUAUGUUCAAAAUGAAACACUGUAAAGUAAAUUUGUAUACUAUAAAACGAAACACCUUUACAAUGCUACUAAUUCAAUAAAACAAACAAAAAAAAGUGCUAAAAUUCAAAGAAUAUAUUGUCUAUAUUUUAAGCUAAUACUGAGACAAGCUUUUUUAAUUAGGGGAGAAUGAAAAGGUAGGUAGAGAUUUUACAGAUGUUUUGAAGGGAAUUAGGAAUAUUUUCAAGGAUUUAUAUGUUAUUGGCAGUGGUUCUUGAUUAUUCCUAAUUGCCACUUCAAAUUAUAUGAUGUUCUUGCCUUAAAACAGGUAUGUCACUAACCACUAAAAUUUCAAACAAUGAUUAUCCCACUGUUUGAAUCAUGAUUGCAAUAAUGAAGGUGAGAAUAAAAAAUCUAAUGAGGAAGGAAAUAAAGAGAGAAAAUACACCAUACUAACUGGGAAAGAGUUUUAACAGAUAAAGGAGAAAACAAUAAAAUGCAAGUGGAUGUGUUAUGUUGUGAAACAUUAUGUGAGGGGGAAUACCUGAGCUGGUACUGGUAAACUAAAGAGGAGAAAAGGAGCAGGAUCCAUUUGAGAGAAGAAUAAAGUUGGUUGUGGUAUAGAAACAUUGGAGUCAGACACCUUAGAGCAGGAGACAAGGGAAGAGUAGAAUUACUCUCUUGAUAUUUAAAGUAAUGAGUCUGAGUGGGACUUGAGCUUGUACAAUGACGUACUGGGUGAGAAGCAGACAGAGGAAUGAGAUAAGAAGGGGCAUAAAAGAGCUUUUCUUUAGUAUUGAACGAUGAUACAAGGUAUGUGUCAUCUAUUCAGCCUCUUGAAGUUGAGGCAGGGGUUCCCACAGCCCCACACCCUGUUAAUGAGCCUAGCACAGAAUCUAUACCUGCUUUUCAUUUGUCCCUCCGUGAGGUCUGACAGCCUUCUGCGUGGUUAAGUUAGCUUUAUGCCUCCACCUCCCCAGCCCUCCUAUUUUACCUGAAUCCCAUUUCUGGGUGCAAUCCUGGGAAUUUCCUCCGAGGAGAUCAUAAAUUAGAUUGGAACUAGGACUAUUAACAAACACAAAACCAGGGAAAAACUGGAUUUGCAACAAUCCCUGGGGGCCGUGACUUUAUUCAAAUGAAUCAAGUGUGUAUUGAGUGCUGACUUCUGGAUCAGAUGCUAUGCUAUGAAAUUUCACAUUUAUAAUUUCUAUUUAACAUUUAAUCAGUUUUUGGUGAUUAUAUUUUCAGCAACCAUAUACAGGUGCUAGAGGGCUAACUGGCAUAGAUUCAGGUUCAAGUUAGAGAAGGCAGAAACCAGAGCAAGAUCAUGACAGCUGGGGACCACUGGAGAGGUAAGCCUGAGGGCAAACUCUGAGAUCUGAAAGUGUACCUUUUGAGUCCCUGUCUUUUCCCACUCCUCCUACUUUGGAUACCCCUCAAGGAACCAUUGCAUAUCAAAACCAACUAUUAGAACCUUCAUCACAUUGACAUGUGAGUGAAACCCCCUUUAGGUACCAGCAGUCUAAGAACACCAAGCAAUUUCUUUUGAAUGAAAGCCUUGGGAUAAAUAAAUCCACUCAUUUACGUAUUAUUCAGUCAUGUAAUGAACACCUUCUACAUGCCAAACACUAAAAAGCUAGUCUUUCUUCUUUAUUUGCCAAUAGAAGCUAUGAAUGGCACACUGCAAUUCCAGAUACUAGGUAAGAAACAUAAGUUUGAAGGAUGAAGAUAUCAAGGCCUCAGUCUCCUCUGAAAUCAGAUCACAAUGCUCUAUGUCAUCAGUUUCCCUUUAUCUUGAUUACAUGUCCAGGAACACUGACACUCUAACAACAAAAUGGACAACUCCAGUGGACCAAAAUAAGUUGACUAUACCCGAAAUGAUGGAAGAAACGGCACAAACAUUAACCCUGAAGGGAGAAGGUGGAAAAAAGUAAUGCUUCCAAAACUCAGGCCAGGAACAUGUAUCCAGAGCAGAGAGGAUUUGCCUAAUUAUCACCCUUGGAGACUCACUGGAGUAGCAGAAGGCUGGGUCUGCUUCUCAUGAAGGCAUGUUUUUAUUUAU